CAGGAAUUCUAACUAGAAGUGCCUCCGUCUGCAGGGAAAGUCAAACAGAGGAUGUAUUUUACCAUUGGGAGACAUUGACCAGUUGAGGACGUUGGGAGAGGAGCAACUUACAUCUUGUCUGUAGAACCUGCCUCAGAAUCUAGCUGGCUUCACCGUCUUCUCCAGCUUUUGGCCUUUGUUUUCCCUGUUCAGUGCCUGGACAAUCUGUGAAUGAAACACCAGAAGACAGUGGGAAACUGAGUUACUGGCAAUGGAUCCACU